UACGAAGGGGGCGAGCGUUGUUCGGAAUUACUGGGCGUAAAGGGCGCGCAGGCGGUCCUUCAAGUCAGAUGUGAAAAGCCCCCGGGCUCAAACCCUGGGGAACUGCAUUUGAGACUGGAGGACUUGAGGACGGGAGAGGAGAGUGGAAUUCCCAGUGUAGAGGUGAAAUUCGUAGAUAUUGGGAAGAACACCGAUGGCGAAGGCAGCUCUCUGGACCGUUUACUGACCGCUGAGG
rnacentral:rRNA from 1 species